GCAAAAUUAUUUUCUCCUAGAAUUAAAAUCAAUUUGAUAGAAAAGUUAGUACAUAUUAUACAAUCAUAUGGAAUAAUAAUAAUUGAAUGAAGUUAUAACAAAACUAAUCUGUACAAGCCAAUUCCCAUCAAUAAAUUCAGUACGUGGAGAAUUUCCAUCACAGCAGAGAAGGAUUCGGUGAAUAUGAAAAUUCAACUGCACAACAAAACACUGAAGGGAAAUAAGGUUUCACUGGUAGUUUUAGUCAUGGCAUGUGAAUCAGUAGAACAAAGUGGUAAAAGGAUCAUCAAGACAUGCUACAAUCUCCAUGAAAGUGUAGAAAAUACUUUAGUCCGGCAACAUCUUGAACUUCUAGUGCAAUAUGCCGAACAAUGGAAACCACGGUUUUCAGCAGGAGGAUUUUAUGAUAUAAACCAAUCCUGUCUAUCUUCAAUUUUUUCAGCUAUCAUUACAUAUUUGGUUAUAAUCAUACAAUUCAAUAUGGUCCUGACUGAUGAGAAAGUAGAGCCACCCACAGAGAAAAAUAUAACAGUGCAAACUUUUUAACCUCGGUGUUAUAAAUUUCAAUAACUCAUGGUUCUAGAGUUUCUCAAAGUUGCACAUGAAUUGUUAGUUUUAGAGUUGUGAAAACUUUGUAUUGAAAUAACACUCACCACAGAUUUUAUCUUGAAAAUAAAAGCUGUUUUUGA